rnacentral:rRNA from 1 species
AUUGAACGCUGGCGGCAUGCCUUACACAUGCAAGUCGAACGGUAACAGGUCUUCGGAUGCUGACGAGUGGCGAACGGGUGAGUAAUACAUCGGAACGUGCCCGAUCGUGGGGGAUAACGAGGCGAAAGCUUUGCUAAUACCGCAUACGAUCUACGGAUGAAAGCGGGGGAUCUUCGGACCUCGCGCGGACGGAGCGGCCGAUGGCAGAUUAGGUAGUUGGUGGGAUAAAAGCUUACCAAGCCGACGAUCUGUAGCUGGUCUGAGAGGAUGAUCAGCCACACUGGGACUGAGACACGGCCCAGACUCCUACGGGAGGCAGCAGUGGGGAAUUUUGGACAAUGGGCGAAAGCCUGUUCCAGCCAUGCCGCGUGCAGGAUGAAGGCCUUCGGGUUGUAAACUGCUUUUGUACGGAACGAAAAGCCUCUUUCUAAUAAAGAGGGGUCAUGACGGUACCGUAAGAAUAAGCACCGGCUAACUACGUG